CUCAGUUUCUGGGUGACUGUGUGUCAUCUGUGCAGAAUCUAAUUCAAGCAUGUGAUUUCAAGUUUGGAACCACUGACACCAACUUGAAGGAAUAAAACAAUAAGAUAUGACCACCAUCAUGGGACAUUUGCAUGCAUGCAUCUGGAGGAGGCUUUAGAAUGACUUGGGCAGUUGGACCGGAAGAUGGACACCACAGAUCCAUAGCAAGCCCACCUGUCCCAGGGGUCCUGUUGUCUAUUUCAUAAAAUGACCGUGUGACUUUCAACAUGAAUAAAAGCAAGGAUGCUGACACCAACAAUGUUAUUAAAGAUGGGUUUCAGCGUGAGCCAGCUGUACAUCACCCUGAAGAUUGUGCUUGAGAGAUGUUUUUGUCCUGACCUGGUAGUGGGGGCCACGGUUCACAGUGACACAGCACCUCACCUCUCCAAGUGUGGCAUGUGGACCAGCAGCAUCAUAGCACUACCUGAAGCAUCUUAGCAAGACUGAACGUAAGGUUUUAUCUUGGACCCACUGAUUCAAACUCUGCACAUUAACAUGAUCUCCCGGGGAGCUGUGUGUGCACUGAAGUUAGGAAGCCCAGACUGCAGGGCAUCCUGGGAAGUCAGGAGGUGCAGAUGACUUUGCUCGGUGUUUUUUCCCCAGAUCACAGAUUAAAGACACCUUGGGAUGGGGAGCAGGCAGUGAUCAUAUUCUUUAAUCCCUUGGUCACUUUCAUGCAGCCUUGCUUACGAAUAAUUGACAUUUCUGCCUGGUGUAAUCAGAGGAAGUAUAAUUUGUUUUUAUCUGCAGCAAAAGUAAGCAGAACCACAUGAAAAGCCUGCAAACAUUUGCCCCUGGGCUUGAAAAUCAGUUUGGUUCAGACCCUUUUGUUAUACUAUCAAGAAAAUGAGGUAACCAGUGUGUUAUGACUCCUUGGAAGGACUUUUAUCAUCAAUUUGAAUUUUAUGCUAAAUGUAUUUAUUUAAGGCAAAAAACUAUGAGACGUGAAAGCAACACACUGCUAUUUUAGCUAAUCUCGGGGUGUCAGAGACGAAGGUUUUCUCUUGUAUGCUGUACAGUGGGCAUCUUAUGUGAGAAUUCCAUCCUAUGUCAUCACACUCAUUCAUCCAUUUAUGUACUGGUCUUUCAUUCAAUAUAUACACACAGAUCUCUUAUAUUGCAAGUGGUAUAACUAGCCAAAAAGGAAAAACAUAAUGAAAAGAAAAAAUCCUGACUGUCAAAAGUUGUAUCUUUCUUCUGUUCUUUGACUCAGUAAGAAAAUGUGACAUCUUCUUUUCUUUAUGACCAAUAAAAGUAGGCAUGGCUAAAUA